CCGGCCCCAGAGCUCUGUUCCCGCGCGGCCCAGGGCCCUCCAGGACGCACUGCGCCUCUCCCCACGCCACAGCCACGCUUUGCCUUCAGGGCUGCGGGAGAAGAAUUAAUCCCCUCUGCCAUUACCGCCCCCCAACUGCGUCCGGCCUUCCACUCACUCCUUCUUCCCUGUCGGCGGGAUGACGCCGGGAGAUGGGCAAUCGCGUGUCGCUGAGGGGUUCUGGGUGUUGCUGCGGGAGAGGGCUUGGGGGGGUGAUGCGCGCGCGCGCGCGUGCGUGUGUCUGUAUGUGUGUAUUCAAGGGAAGGAAGACCGCAAAGGUGUCCACACCUGCCUAUCUUGGAUCCUACCAGCCCCUCCUCCCCCGGCGAAGAGAAGACUGCUUCCCCUGGAGCCUCUUCCCUAACCCCCCACUGCUUUCACCGUCUGCGGCGACCUUUGAAUUGCCCUGUAAUUGUUUACAAACACCUUCGCCAGCUCUUUUAGGGCCUGUCUCCACAGGAAGUGUGAAUCUGAGUUGAAAAUCUUCUGGUUAAUUUGAUCCACCUAACCAACUGAAUCACCCGCCGCCAGGCGCUCUGUCCAACUCUUCCGGAAAAAGGUAAUGAUUCUUCUCAGGUGACAGCAUGGCUGGCUGGGUCUGGAAUCCUGCCCAGGAAAGAUGCAGAGGUAACCCAAUUCUCAGAUGACCGUGGGUCAGGAACAUGGAUGCAGGUGGCUGGAUCCCCCACUCAGCCUCCAUCACAAGACCGCUAUGGUUGUGCUAUCCUCUGAAGACUCAGUGGCAAGGACCGGCUUCAAGCCCACAGCAUUGUUGACAGCCUUCAGUGUCUUGCAAUCUGCUGACUGACCUCAGUUCCUCACCAGGCUGUUGGCCAAGGUCUGCCCUCCAUUUCCUGGCACUCUAGCUCCUCAUAGAGCAUCUCACCACGUGGCAGCUGACCUCAUCAUAGUGAGUAAACAAGAACGGCAAAGAGACUGUGACCAAGGCAGAAGUUACCGUCUUUUGUAAACUAAUGUUGAAUUUGAUGUCCCAUCACUUUGACUGUAUUCUAGUCAUUAGAAGCAAGUCCAGUGCCUACUGAAGGGAAGGGGAUUACACAAGAAUAUGAGCACCAGGAAGUGGGAACAUGGGAGCCAUUUUAGAAACUGCCAACCACAUUUGACUUUCAAUUAGUGUUUGUUGAAUGGAUGGAUGGGUGAAUUUGGAUACAUGCAGAGGGGGAGAAUAGAGACAGGUAGGGGCAUACUGCUGUUAAGAAAUUGUUUCCUCAGUACGCUGGAAAGCCAAGGGACAUGGGCAUCAAAAGGCUUACCUCUUUCCACUUGUCACAUGCUUUAUUUUCAAGAUUGGUUAACUUCUACUCUGAUUCCAGCCUCCUCAUUCACCCACAAAUGCACAUGUGCAUGAGACAUACAGACAGGAGGACAAUUCAGUCUUCAGAGAGGUGAAGACGUUGGCAAGCUUACACAUUGGGCUCAGAGGUUUGUAAGUUGCUUUCAGAGGAAAGGCUGGGGAAUUUGUUAAUUCGGGGAAAAGCACAUUUUUUCCCACUUGCACAACUCAAAUAAGGCUGAACACUCCCAUGCUGGAAUUUUCCAAACCAUUUCCAUUUCUCAGAUGGAGAGGAGGAAAUUUGGACAAAGCAAAGGCUUGUUUUUGAGGGAGGAAUGAGUUAUAUCUGUGGCAUACCUUUUGUGUGCUCAGCAUAAUCUUGCAUCUCAGGCCUAGAGAAGAAGUAAAGACACAAGAGGAACACCCAAGGUGGCUGCAGGGACCAAGCUAGCCUUAGGGAGAUGACAGUGAGACAAAGGGACAACAUUGCCUCAAUGUGGUGUGCUCCUGGAGAUCAAGAAGAGGGGAUUCAUAGGGCUGACACAGGAAGGGAGAGGUUCUGGAAAUAGGUUGGUUAGAGCUUCACCUUUGAGUAUGAAAAGUGUUUGAAUAGGAGGGCAUUCUAGGCAAGGAGCAGCAUAGGAAAAAGGCUCAGAAGUGGGAAUUGGUGCGGUAUGACCAUGGGCAGACAAAUAGGGCUGAAUAAAUGGAAGGUGUAUGUACAUGGUGACAACUAAGAAAAUGAUGAGAGUCUGAGGGGCAGGAGCUUCCUGCGUUUAGGAGGUGGGGUUAGUGAGAGUAGUCUUGGAAGGGAAAUGAGGAAAGUACUAAAGUUCGGGGGGUAGUUGGCUCAUCACUGGACCCAGGGCUGAAUAGCCCCCAGGAACGAUCUGUGGUGGGGCCGUCAUCACGUCUUCCUCAUGUCAGAGCUGCUGAGGAACACAAGUGGGUCUUGGUGACAGCUGCCAGGGGAUCAACAAAGUUCACCUGGAUUCUUUGUGGUCUGCUCUCAGGGAAAAAAUCCACCACAGAGAGAUAAGGUAGGGUCCCACUAGAACUUCUUGUGACUCCCCCCCUUCCUCGUCUAGUUCCACUCACAUCCCCUUCCAUUCUCCUUGUCCCCAUUCUCUGCUUAAUUUCUGUGCACUGCCUUUAUAGCUGUCUGGCACUUUGUGUAUUUACUUAUUUGUCUUGCAUAUGGCCUGUUUUUCCCACCGCAAUGUAAGCUCCACGAGGGCCGGGAUUUCCAGGUGAGUGCUGGGCGCGUGGGAAAACACUCAGGGUCUGUUGAAUGGAAGAGGCCUUGUUACAAAGUGAUAAACCGUGCUUAUAAAGAGCUCCAUCUGGUUAGGAAGCCGGGAUAAUAGAUUUGCUGCUUUGCCCACAGUCAGGGCCCCUGCGUCCGUAUAUGUGUGCACCUUUACCUGCAGAGAAGAGCUCGUCCUUGCUGGGAACAGCCUCCACCUCAGUCUGGACACCAGGGAAAGCCGCAGGUGACACAGCCUCCCUCAGGGUCACACUGAUGCCCCUGCUUUGACUCACCGGAACACCUCAACUCCCCCCGCCUCUGAGUUCAGGGCUCCUGCACCAGCCUGCCUCUAUCCCCCCUGGAUGCCUACAGGAGUUCCAUCUUCUCCGUCCCCUUCUGCCAGCCUCGAUGGGUGCCAGACUGCCUCUGUGUGAGACCCUGGCUGGGAAGGGCAGGCAGGACUGGGCUUUUCUUUCCUCCAUAUCCACUCCCAGCCCCAACAGGCACCAGGAAAAAGGGUUGUUGGUGAUGUUUCAGAGGCUCCAUGACCCCAUAAAAUAUGCUUCAUUUUUCUCAGAAAAUGAGCCAUUUUUUCCCUCUUAUGUUUUCAUAUGGUGCCCAGAAGUCCCUGGAUUUCCUGGAAUUUAUAUGAAGAAUUCCAGCUAUUCCAGCUGUAGUUUUCACACACAGAGCUCCUGCCAACAGACUUUGGCCAUCUGGGGGCAGCCUGUGGCGGUGGAGUGAGCUCUGCUCUUGAGCUCUAGCCACCUGGCAAGGGCUUCUCUGCUGACCCCCUACCAUGCUUGUGGAUAUCAAAAAAAAAUAAUUUUAUUGAGUUAUCAUUGGCAUAUAAUAAACUACACUGAACAAUG